rnacentral:rRNA from 1 species
UACGUAAGGCGCAAGCGUUGUCCGGAAUUAUUGGGCGUAAAGAGCUCGUAGGCGGCCUGUUGCGUCCGCUGUGAAAUCCCGGGGCUUAACCCCGGGCUUGCAGUGGAUACGGGCAGGCUGGAGGCAGGCAGGGGAGAACGGAAUUCCCGGUGUAGCGGUGAAAUGCGCAGAUAUCGGGAGGAACACCGGUGGCGAAGGCGGUUCUCUGGGCCUGUACUGACGCUGAGGAGCGAAAGCGUGGGGAGCGAACAGG